UGCAGGGGUGCGAGGCUGUGUGAGACUGCAUGUGCGGGUGUGUGGGGGGGUGUGUGUGGGGUGUGUGUGAGACUGCAGGUGUGCAGGGGUGCGAGGCUGUGUGAGACUGCGUGUGCGGGUGUGUGGGGGGGUGUGUGUGGGGUGUGUGUGAGACUGCAGGUGUGCAGGGGUGCGAGGCUGUGUGAGACUGCGUGUGCAGGUGUGUGUGGAGGGCUGUGGGGAGCUGUGUGUGUGGGGUGUGUGUGUGUGAGGCUGUGGGGGGCUGUGUGUGGGGUGUAUGUGUGUGAGGCUGUGUGUGUGUGAGGCUGUGUGUGGGGGAUGUGAGGCUGUGUGUGUGCGGGGGGGACUGUGUGUGUCAGAUGAUGUCCCUGGCUGUGUGUGGGGAUGUGUGUGUGUGGGUGUGUGUGGGGUGUGUGUGUGUGUGUCGGAUGAUGUCCCCAGCUCCAGGGGCUGUAGGAUUCUGUGCAGACUCACAGCAACGCCACCCUCACUGCCCUGACACCUGCUGUGAUACUGAGGUGAGGCCCCUUGGCGCCUGGACGUGUCAAAUCCUGGGCCUUAGUGUGUGGCCAUGGUGCCUCCAAGAACUGCAGGGCCCCAGGAGGAGCUGGGGCUGGGAAACAAGGGGAGGGAGACCUUACCUUGUCCCUCAAGACUGCAGUUUGCGGCCAAGGCCUCGCACUCUCUGUGCAUCGAACACCAGCAUGCAGUAGGCUCGGUGCCCAGGCUGACGCUGGCCCAGCGGUGAGCACAUGCGCAAAACCAUGCAUGGGGCCAGGCACACAGCUGAGGCCGGGACCAAGGGCUGCAGAAGAAACACAGCACAGCCCUGCACUGAUUGCGAACAAGCUCUAGGGGGGACGGCAGUAGAUACGGAUGCUGCGAUUCAUAUAUAAAGGGAGGAAACAUAAAUACGGUGCAUGCACAUUUUCUAGUUUAUUCAUAAAAUGUCUCCCGACGGAAUCACAGAAAACUUAAAAUCAGCUGCCUCCAGGCAGGGAGCCAGCCUGAAGACACUUUCCUCUGAGUUUUGAAAUAGGUGAGCACACUAGCUAUUCGAAACACCAAUACAUAAAAUGCAAAGGCCCAAAAAACUCCUUUCUCAGGCCUUUGCAGUGGAAUAAAAACACUAUAAAAGCAGGAAAUUUAGUUGUGAUUCUUCCCUAGACUGCCCCACCACAGGGACUGCAUUUGCAGCUGUGUGGCAAAGCUAUUUCCUCUCCUUAUUUAAUGUGACAAAUACGUCUGCUACCCAAAUCUCUCAAGUGCACAGGCUCAGGAGCACAUUCCAUCGCCUACCCCCGGGGGACCCAGCUAUGGAAGUGUCUCAACCCUUCCCUGCGUGCACCCGGUUCCAUCCUCCUUGGCCCCCAGGGACGGCGGCCCUUCACCUGCAGACCUCAGCCUCACCCUGUAUAAAGCUCAGUCUUCCUCUGCUGCUACAAGAACCCACUGCAGAUGCAGCAUCAGCCAGGAUGCUUCCACAUCCCCCCGCGGGACUUGGGGACCUGGGUGAAUGAGGAACACGCGGAAGCUCACGUAGCUUGCUGUGCCGUGAGUCGUAAGCCCUUUGUCUCCGCCUCCGGGGUCUCAUGUCUUCUUCCAGGGUCCGCGAAACAGAAACGAGUUGUUAGCUUGCAAGGGGUAAAAUCAAAUCCCCCACACUCGUGUAUUGGGAGGAUGAAAACCUAGAUGUGGAAUUGCUCAGCCAAAGCACGGGCAUUUGUAAUUUCAAUAGUUGUUCCCAAACCUCCCAGCAUUAGGGUUAGAGUUCCACAUCAGUUCCUCCUCCCCAUGCCCCAGCACAUAGUGUAUUUCAGAUAUUGGUGAUUUUAAUUUGCAUUCUUGUAUCAUAAGUGGGGUUUAAGAGCGAUUUGCAUUUCCUUUUCUGUGAACCGUAUUUACAUCUUUUACUCAUUUUUCUAGUAGAUUGUUUAUGUUUUGUGCCUCUUGAUUUGUAAGAGCUUGGAAACUAGGGAAAUUAAUUUUUGAAUGGCUUUCAAAUACUUUGCCCCAGUUUUGAUUUUAUAUAUAGUGUUCUUUGCCAUGCAGAAAAAAUUAAAUUUGUAUGAGUUGAAUUUGUCAAUCUUUACUUCUGUGACUAAUUUUACAUCACGAUUAGGAAGAUCUCCCCUACUUCAAGUUUAUAGGAGAAUAUUCUCAUUAGUUCUUCGAAUACAUUCCUUAAAAUAUAUGUAUUUAUGUUUAAAACUUUUAAGCACUUGGGGAAGAAAGAGGAAAAAAGAGAGAAAAAAGAAAACCAGUUGUGACUUGAGGGGCAAUGAAAGACAGUGAAUGACUUGAAUAGUCGUGAAAUGUUUUCCAACUCAGACACACACCCCCACUGCACGCACACACUAGGCAAGGUGAUGGAGGCUGGCAUGUCCCAGCAUGGGCAUCUCUGAAGGCUGCCAUGUCUUUCUUCAUGGAGGGGCUGCUGGCACGUGCAGGGGUCCUGGGAACCCCUCUAGGGACCCGCUCUGGGAAACUGGAGGCCAAAACACUGUUUUGACGUUGAGUAUGGGCGCCCAUCCUGCACCCCCUCCUGGGGUGGGGGCCCCCUCUGCUCUGGCCGUCCCAGCUGUGGCCCUUGAUGCACCUGAGGGCCAUGUUCAGCGCUCUGGUCUGGCCAGCUCCUCUGCGGUGAUGGGGGAUGGGUCUGUGUGUGCCCCAAAUUUUGUCUGGAAGGGGUGGCUGGUAAAGGCUGUGGAGCGUGCCAUCGGAGGUGGAGUUGGUCUAGAGCCUGCCCCUGAGAGGCCCCCACAAGCACUGAGUGCAGGGGGCAGCUGAUGUGGGGGAAGCCGGGCGGCCGGCUGGGACAGCCCUCCCCUUGGCAGUGCCCUUGACUCCCGCCCAGCCUCGGUAUCCUUUGGGUGACGUGGGUGAUCCUGAACCCACAGCGCUCUCCCAGGAGUGAAUGUCCUGUGCCACCAGCAGCCUGUUUGAUGCUCCUUGUCUUCUGGGAUUCCCCGGAGUCCUCAGCAGGGGCAGUGCCUUCAGCUCAUGACACUGUGGAAGCCACAGGGAUUCCCCCCCCUUUUUUUUGCGUUUUGAUGUUUAUUGAGUAUAAUUGAAGUACACGUAUUUCAGCUGAACUGCAUGUUUAAGGUGUGCAGUGGGUCCGUUUUGACAUUUGUGUACAUCCGUGAAGCCAUCACCAAAAUCGAGAGAAAGUGUUUCCAUCACUCCACGAGCUUCUUUGUGGCCCCUCGUAAUUCCUCCCUCUAGCCCCGCCCCAGGCAACCUCUGAUCUGUUUCCUGUCACUGUAGAUGGUUUGCUUGUCCUGGCAUUUUGUGCAAAUGGGAUCACACAGCAUUUUGUCUGUCUGCACUUGGCAUAAAGGUUCUGAGAUUCAUCCAUGUUUCUAGCACCAGCCAUUUGUUCUCUUUUAUUGCUGCAAAGUGUUCUAUUGUAUGGGUAGACCAAGUCUGUUUAUUUACCUGUGGAUGGAAGUUCAGGUUGUUCUCCAUUUUAGACUGUUACAAAUAAAGCUACCAUGAACAUUUUUGUACAAGUCUGUAUGUUUUUAUUUCUCUUGGAUAAAUACCUAGGAGUGCAGUUGCUGGGUGACACUGCAGGUGCAUAUUUAACUGUUUCCAAAGCAGUGGUGUCAUUUCCCAUUCCCAGAAACUGUGCGUGAGAAUCCCAGUUUCUCUGCAUCCCCGCCGGUGCAUGGUGUGCUCAGCCUUCUUGGUCACUUCUUGGUUUUGACCAUCCUCAUGGGUUGGUGGUAUCUCAUCAGAGUUUUAAUGUGCAUUUCCCUAGUGACUAAUGGUGUUGAGGAUAUCUUUAUGUGCUUCUUCACCAUCCAUAUAUCUUGUCUGGUGGUGUCUGUUUAAAUAAUUGCCCAUGUUCUUAUUGGCUUGUUUUCUUAUUACUGAGUUGUAAGAGUUCUUUACAUAUUCUGGAUAUAAACCGUUGUUGUGAAUAUUUUCUUCCAACUUAAGGCUUAUCUUUUCAAUUUUCUUAAUAUUGACUUUCAAAAGACAUUUGAAAACCUUUUGGCCAGGCACGGUGGCUCAGGCUUGUAAUCCCAGCACUUUGGGAGGCCGAGGCGGGAGGAUCACGAGGUCAGGAGAUCGAGACCAUCCUGGCUAACACAGUGAAACCCCAUCUCCACUAAAAAUACAAAAAAAAAUUAGCCAGGCGUGGUGGCGGGCGCCUGUAGUCCCAGCUACUCCGGAGGCUGAGGCAGGAGAAUGGCGUGAACCCCAGAGGCGGAGCUUGCAGUGAGCCAAGAUCACGCCACUGCACUCCAGCCUGGGCAACAGAGUGAGACUCCGUCUCAAAAAAAAAAAAAGAAAAGAAAACCUUUUGAUGAAGACCAACUUGUGAGCUUUUUGUCUUUUUGUGUUCUAAGAGUCCUGUGACUACCCACAAGGUCUGAAGGAUUUUUGCACAUUUUCUUGUAAAGUUUUACAGUAGUUUAAAGCACCUUGAAGUCUAUACUCCUUUUUUGAGUUAAUUUUUGGGUAUUACAUGAGGGUAGAGCUGGUGUCCAUUUGUUUUCUUGGAUAUACGGUUGAUCCAACACCAUUUAUUGAAAAGAUUUUCCUUUCCCUAUUGAAUUGCCUUAGUAUCUUUGUGAAGUAAAUUGUCCAAUGAAGACCCAAGGAAAACCAGUCUGUCUAUUUCUAGACUCACACCAUUCUUUUCUAUUCAUUUAUACUUCUAUGUUUUCUCUAGUAACCAAAUCAUCUUUAAUAUUGUAGCUUUAGAGAGGGCUUAAACUCAGUAGUGUAGGUCCCCAGCUGUGCCCUUCUCUUUAAUUGGCUAUUCUAGGUCCUUUGCAUUUCCAUGUAAAUUUUAGAAUCAGCUUGUCAAUUUCUGUAGAAAUUCCUGUUGGGAUUUUAAUAUGAUUACAUUGAAUCUAUAGAUCAGUUUUGGGGAGAAUUGCCAUCUUAACAAUAUUGAAUCAUUCCAAUCAAAGAACAUUGUAUAUCUUUCUGCAUAUUUGUUCUUUACAUUUUUCUCAGCUCUGGUUUGAGUGUCUUUUGUUAGAUUUGUUCACAGGCAUUGCAUAUUUUGGGGCCUCUCUUUCCACCUGAGCUGGCUUGGGGCUCCUCCGACACCUGUUUCUGUGCUGAUGGGCAUUGGUGAAUCCUCCUGCAAGUCUCCUCUGCCCUGGAGUGAACUGGAGCUUCUCCUGCACGCCCUCAGGGCUUCUAGACUUCUCGUAUCCUGUCUGUGGUCUGCAUCCUCCUGGCUGUCCUCUCCCCACUGCCCACUAGGUGCUCCCCUUGUUUUCUGGGGAGGUCUUGGGUGUCCUUCACUGACAGGUGGGCCCCUCUAGCCAGGAGAUGCCAGUGCACAUGAAAGCAGGUCCAGGUCAUCCCCAGUUCUCCCGCCUAUUUACAUCUUGGCUAGCAGCUUGAGUAAUUUUUGGUGGGUGCGACAUUAAAAAAAAAAAAAAAAAAAAAAACCAGAACGUGGAAAGAUAACCAAAGAUAAGACAGAAUGGGAGAAAAUAAAUACAAAUCAUAUACUCAAUAAGGACCUGGUAUCCAGAGUAGUUAAAUAAUCCUUACAACUCAAAAACAAAA